ACAUGCAAGUCGAGCGAACUGAUUAGCAAGCUUGCUUCUAUGACGUUAGCGGCGGACGGUGUGAGUAACACGUGGUGCAACCUGCCUGUAAGACUGGGAUAACUUCGGUGAAACCUGAAGCAUAAUACCGGAUAGGAUCUUCUCCUUCAUGGGAGAUGAUUGAAAGAUGGUUUCGGCUAUCACUUACAGAUGGGCCCGCGGUGCAUUAGCUAGUUGGUGAGGUAACGGCUCACCAAGGCAACGAUGCAUAGCCGACCUGAGAGGGUGAUCGGCACACUGGCACUGAGACACGGCCCAGACUCCUACGGGAGGCAGCAGUAGUAGAAUCUUCCGCAAUGGACGAAAGUCUGACUGGAGCAUCGCCGCGUGAGUGAUGAAGGCUUUCGGGUCGUAAAACUCUGUUGUUAGGGAAGAACAAGUACGAGAGUAUCUGCUCGUACCUUGACGGUACCUAACCAGAAAGCCACGGCUAACUACGUGCCAGCAGCCGCGGUAAUACGUAGGUGGCAAGCGUUAUCCGGAAUUAUUGGGCGUAAAGCGCGCGCAGGCGGUUUCUUAAGUCUGAUGUGAAAGCCCACGGCUCAACCGUGGAGGGUCAUUGGAAACUGGGGAACUUGAGUGCAGAAGAGAAAAUGCGGAAUUCCACGUGUAGCGGUGAAAUGCGUAGAGAUGUGGAGGAACACCAUGUGGCGAAGGCGGCUUUUUGGUCUGUAACUGACGCUGAGGCGCG
rnacentral:rRNA from 1 species